GGCCUAAUUUUGUUGAUUGUUCAUCCUGAAUCCUUACUCCAUAAUAUCUAAAGAUAUGGGUUAAAAUCAUGGCAUAAGAUAGGGACGUCUGUGCCCUACCGACCGCUUCUUGCAUAACAUUGAUGAUCAUUCUUGAAAGGUUGAGUGGGAUAUAUUUGACUACAUGAUACAUAAUUGUUAAGUUCUUCUCUGUUAUAAUAUCAAAUCCUCCUAUCUUAGGUUGUAUAAUCCAGCAAAUAAUUAUAUGGAGUAGUCUCAUUUCAAUAUUUAAGUAUCUCCCAUGAAUUCUCUAGAGUUGACCAUGAUCUUCUACC
rnacentral:lncRNA from 1 species